rnacentral:rRNA from 1 species
GCGGCCUAUCAGCUUGUUGGUGAGGUAAUGGCUCACCAAGGCGACGACGGGUAGCCGGCCUGAGAGGGCGACCGGCCACACUGGGACUGAGACACGGCCCAGACUCCUACGGGAGGCAGCAGUGGGGAAUAUUGGGCAAUGGAGGAAACUCUGACCCAGCGACGCCGCGUGCGGGAUGGAGGCCUUCGGGUUGUAAACCGCUUUCAGCAGGGAAGAAGCGAAAGUGACGGUACCUGCAGAAGAAGCACCGGCUAACUAUGUGCCAGCAGCCGCGGUAAUACAUAGGGUGCAAGCGUUGUCCGGAAUUAUUGGGCGUAAAGAGCUCGUAGGUGGUUCGUCACGUCGGAUGUGAAAAUCUGGGGCUUAACCCCAGACCUGCAUUCGAUACGGGCGAGCUAGAGUGUGGUAGGGGAGACUGGAAUUCCU